UACGUAGGGUGCGAGCGUUGUCCGGAAUUACUGGGCGUAAAGAGCUCGUAGGCGGUUUGUCGCGUUGUUCGUGAAAACUCACAGCUUAACUGUGGGCGUGCGGGCGAUACGGGCAGACUGGAGUACUGCAGAGGAGACUGGAAUUCCUGGUGUAGCGGUGGAAUGCGUAGAUAUCAGGAGGAACACCGGUGGCGAAGGCGGGUCUCUGGGCAGUAACUGACGCUGAGGAGCGAAAGCGUGGGGAGCGAACAGG
rnacentral:rRNA from 1 species